GACGAACGCUGGCGGCGUGCUUAACACAUGCAAGUCGAACGGAAAGGCCCUGCUUUUGUGGGGUGCUCGAGUGGCGAACGGGUGAGUAACACGUGAGUAACCUGCCCUUGACUUUGGGAUAACUUCAGGAAACUGGGGCUAAUACCGGAUAGGAGCUCCUGCUGCAUGGUGGGGGUUGGAAAGUUUCGGCGGUUGGGGAUGGACUCGCGGCUUAUCAGCUUGUUGGUGGGGUAGUGGCUUACCAAGGCUUUGACGGGUAGCCGGCCUGAGAGGGUGACCGGCCACAUUGGGACUGAGAUACGGCCCAGACUCCUACGGGAGGCAGCAGUGGGGAAUAUUGCACAAUGGGCGGAAGCCUGAUGCAGCAACGCCGCGUGCGGGAUGACGGCCUUCGGGUUGUAAACCGCUUUCGCCUGUGACGAAGCGUAAGUGACGGUAAUGGGUGAAGAAGCACCGGCUAACUACGUG
rnacentral:rRNA from 1 species